AUGUAUAUUUUUACUUCAACUUCUUUUACUGUGUAUCUACAGAGUUCUGCAGCGGCUGGGCGAGGGAGGAGAAAAAAUAUGGCGUAUGCUGAUCUAACGGAUACAGAUAAACCUUUCUCGUGCGAUCUUUGCGGAGCUCGUUAUAAAACCCGCCCUGGAUUAACAUACCACUACACACAUUCUCAUAAAGAAGGGCGUGUGUGCACCGUUCAAGGAGACGAAGAUGCUAGUCAAGAAGGGCCCCCUUCAUCGCCGGCGAAUAAAGAUAAAUCUCCAGCGGUACCAACCGCCUCAGGUGCUGUUUCACCGGCGAGCAUGACGCCCCCUCAGGCCGGUGCUGGGGCCUCCACCAAUAGCGCCUCGGCUAACUUAGCGCCUCCGGCUCAAGCAGGGAUUUCCGCCGAACAAGGCCCAGGCACGCCGGCAGCCUCGCCGUCUGGGAGUUCGGCGAAAAAAAGACAUCCCUCCUCCACCCCAUCCCCCUCUUCCGGAGGAGUUGACGACAGCAGCCAAAAAGGGUUUCCGGAAGAAGAGGCUGAUUGUAAAACCAACUCCGCAAAAGACCCGGAUGCUUUACCUGUAUUGAAGAUGGAUGGUAGAGAAAAAGCUGCCCCUUCUCCAUACUGUGAUUUUUGUCUCGGCGAUGCUGUGGCCAAUAAAAAAUCUGGCCAGCCGGAGGAACUGGUGUCUUGCUCUGACUGUGGCAGAUCAGGUAUGUAUUCUGGUUUAUCUUUGAGUGUUCACAAAAUUCAAUUUUUAUUCAUUCCUCGGUCAUUUUCUCCAAGUAUGAUCCUUAGUGUCACAUUUUGGAAAAGUUCCUCUGAUCGUGAUACUUAA
rnacentral:lncRNA from 1 species